rnacentral:rRNA from 1 species
UGGGGAAUUUUGGACAAUGGGCGCAAGCCUGAUCCAGCCAUGCCGCGUGAGUGACGAAGGCCUUAGGGUUGUAAGGCUCUUUCGGCGGGGAAGAUAAUGACGGUACCCGCAGAAGAAGCCCCGGCUAACUCUGUGCCAGCAGCCGCGGUAAUACAGAGGGGGCAAGCGUUGUUCGGAAUCACUGGGCGUAAAGCGCACGUAGGUGGAUAGUUAAGUUCGGGGUGAAAUCCCAGGGCUCAACCCUGGAACUGCCUCGGAUACUGGCUAUCUCGAGUCCGGAAGAGGUGAGUGGAAUUCCUAGUGUAGAGGUGAAAUUCGUAGAUAUUAGGAAGAACACCGGUGGCGAAGGCGGCUCACUGGUCCGGUACUGACACUGAGGUGCGAAAGCGUGGGGAGCAAACAGGAUUAGAUACCCUUGUAGUCCCUGAGCGGGCUGGCAAGGCGCAU